rnacentral:rRNA from 1 species
UACGUAGGGUGCAAGCGUUGUCCGGAAUUAUUGGGCGUAAAGAGCUCGUAGGCGGUCUGUCGCGUCGGCUGUGAAAACCCGGGCUCAACCCGGCCUGCAGUUGAUACGGCAGGCUAGAGUUCGGUAGGGGAGACUGGAAUUCCUGGUGUAGCGGUGAAAUGCGCAGAUAUCAGGAGGAACACCGGUGGCGGAAGGCGGGUCUCUGGGCCGAUACUGACGCUGAGGAGCGAAAGCGUGGGGGGAGC